UGUCCUUUCGGAAACAUCCGAAUAAAAUUGAAACUAUACAGAGACGAUUAGCAUGGCCCCUGCGCAAAGAAGACACACAAAUCGAAAAAUUGUCCAAAUUCUU
rnacentral:snRNA from 1 species